GACAGAGGGUGCAAACGUUGCUCGGAAUCACUGGGCGUAAAGCGCGUGUAGGCGGUCCGGUAAGUCCGCUGUGAAAGUCGGGGGCUCAACCCUCGGAUGCCGGUGGAUACUGUCGGGCUUGAGUACGGAAGAGGCGAGUGGAAUUCCUGGUGUAGCGGUGAAAUGCGCAGAUAUCAGGAGGAACACCUAUUGCGAAGGCAGCUCGCUGGGACGUAACUGACGCUGAGACGCGAAAGCGUGGGGAGCAAACAGG
rnacentral:rRNA from 1 species